rnacentral:rRNA from 1 species
AGCAGUGGGGAAUAUUGCGCAAUGGGGGAAACCCUGACGCAGCGACGCCGCGUGAGCGAUGAAGGCUUUAGGGUCGUAAAGCUCUUUUGUAAGGGAAGAAUGUCGGGGAGGAUAAUACCCUUCUCGAAUGACGGUACCUUACGAAUAAGCCCCGGCUAACUACGUGCCAGCAGCCGCGGUAAGACGUAGGGGGCGAGCGUUGUCCGGAAUUACUGGGCGUAAAGAGCACGUAGGCGGAUAUUUAAGUCAGGUGUGAAAGACCGCAGCUCAACUGCGGGGUUGCACCUGAAACUGGGUAUCUUGAGGGCAGGAGAGGGCAGUGGAAUUCCUGGUGUAGCGGUGAAAUGCGUAGAAAUCAGGAGGAACACCAGUGGCGAAGGCGACUGUCUGGACUGACCCUGACGCUGAGGUGCGAAAGCGUGGGUAGCAAACAGGAUUAGAUACCCUGGUAGUCCACGCCGUAAACGAUGGAUACUAGGUGUAGGAGGUAUCGACCCYUUCUGUGCCGCAAGCUAACGCAAU